rnacentral:rRNA from 1 species
UAAUACGGGGGGAGCUAGCGUUAUUCGGAUUUACUGGGCGUAAAGGGUUCGUAGGCGGUCAGAUAAGUCAGGGGUGAAAUCCAACGGCUUAACCGUUGAACUGCCUUUGAAACUGUCUGACUUGAGUGCAGAAGAGGAAAGCGGAAUUCUCGGUGUAGCGGUGAAAUGCGUGGAUAUCGAGAGGAACACCAGUGGCGUAGGCGGCUUUCUGGUCUGCAACUGACGCUGAUGAACGAAAGCCAGGGGAGCGAACGGGAUUAGAUACCCCGGUAGUCCUGGCUGUAAACGAUGGGCACUAGGUGUGGGAGGUAUCGACCCCUUCUGUGCCGCAGUUAACGCAUUAAGUGCCCCGCCUGGGGAGUACGGCCGCAAGGUUG